GCACCGGGCUGCGAGCAGCGGGCGAGCGCCCCGGCACCGCUCCCGGUCACCCCGGUGUGCCGGGAUGUCCCGUCCCAGCCGGGGGACACCGCCCGGCUCCCACCCGCGUCCCGGGGCUCCUCGCUGUCCCCUCCCCGCAGGACAGCCCCUUCCCUGCCGCCGCCCCCGUGGGGCUCCGGGGCUGCUGUGACGAACGCAGCCGGAGCAGGAACGUCCCUGCUUGAAACAUUUCCUCGGAGUUUCUGCCUCUGGCCCCGCUGCCGGGACGCGAGUUCCCCCUCACGCUGCCCCAGAGAAUCCCGCUCGGGGUCACUACGGUCCGAAAUCCUGAAAUUAGGGUCAGGCAAAUAGGAAGAGUCGAAGAUUGUUUCUACUCAACGAUACCGGAAACAUGAAGGAGUGGAUCGACAAGGGAAGGCAGUCGUGGGCUCCUAAACGCCAGGCUGGCACCCGCAGGGUGACUGCAGCUGCUGACCUGCACCACAUCCCGCACGGCUGCUCCCCACAAAUCCCCGCUGGCAAGAGGGAGGGACAAGCAUUUAAUGAAAUGUUCCUGGCCGAUCUCUGCUCUGCUACCCCCACCCGAGCCACCUCCUCCUGCCCGAGGAGCCGGGUACCUCCUUCCCAGCCCGGAGUCUGAGCGAUGCCUCCCUGCAAAGAGCUGCUCUGGUUGGUGAGCAGCAACCGCAUCCCCACUCAGCCCUGCGCUCCUUGGAGCAUGUGAGGGGCUUGGUCCCAGCUGAACAAGCAGCACUGGCUGAACACCAUGUCCAGCACCUCUGCCAGGUGCCCCAGGCACAGUGCUUGCACUGGCCCUGCCAUGGGUUUUGGGCUGUAGGAUGCAACAUGGUUUGAUUCAGCCCUGUUAAACAACGCUCUUUGUUCAGGUGAGCCUUGCCCAGAACCUUCUCAGCAUGGCCAGAAAGGGGGGCAUGGUGCCUGAGCCCUCUGGGCUGACUCUGUGGCUGUCCCCACACAGGGGUCCCAUGCACUGCCCAGGCCCAGGAACUCAGCCCGGGCUGGCAGGGAGCCCCAGCUCUCCAACAGGAGACACAGAGCCAGGCAGGGAUCUCAGCUUGGUCCCUGGCAGGCUCCUGUCUCCUUAUCAAGGGUUUCCAUCGUGAAACAAGAUGCCUUGGAAGAUCCCAGAGGAGCAGGGGAGCAUUCCAGUCCAAUGAGGCCCCUGCAGACAGGAGAGGAAAUUAGGGGUGAAGUUUGCUCCAAGUGCUGCCCUCCCACACCUCUCUUUGUGAGUGAUCUGAGAAAUUCCCUAAAUGAUCCCUCCAAAUGCCACUCCACAGCAGAACUUUUUAGGGAGGUGGCAGCUCGGGCAGGGGAACAGGUCCUCUCCUGACCUGGCCAGGAACACCAAUCUGCAGCCAGCUUGGCCUGAAAGCAGUAGGCUCAUGUUCCACAAUCAGGAGCCCACUGCAGCUCCUCAGCCUUAUCAGGGUGACAUUUCUGGGCUGCAGGUGCCAGUGCCAGGCUUCACUUUGAGGAACCGCCACAAUCAGGGAACAUAACCCAUUUCUCGCCUGCAUUUGGCUGCCAGAAAGAGUACAGGGGCCUGUGUAAUCACUCUGCUCAGAAUUAGAUCAUGAAUCAAAGCCCUGCUCAGCUCCAGGCUCCACCAAGCCCUGCCAGGAAUUGUCUGUGUGAUCCCAGAGCUUGGGGCAGGAGCACAGAGGGGCCAGGAUGGGUCUGGGUGAAGGGGAUGCACAGCACAGGGUGCCUGUCCCAGGAGGGCUCCAGGGACACCCAGGGCUUGUUUCACUGCUGGCUUCACCACCCCACACCCAUGGGAGCUUCUAUGUCUCUCAUGUGAGUUCAGGGAGCAGGAGAGGCACCCAAACCUCAGCUGUGGCUGGAACCCUGGGCAGAUCACUGCAGAGGAUUUCCUCAGCCCAGAGGCACAGAUGGGACCCACCUGCACGUUUAUCCCGACAUAUAAAGUUAUCAAACUCAAACAGCUCUCGCUCCUAAGCAGCCGCAUUAAGAAAAAUCUUUCUCAGAAUCUUUCCUCCUUCACCAGCAGGAUCCAAGUGUGCCCAGCCUGAUAGAGCCUUAUCUUGGCACCAGCCCCUCUGAGCUCUGCCUCACCCUGCCCAGAGAGCCCUAAUCACCACAGCCAGACGUGGCAAAGGCCUCUGAGGGGCCACAGGCUGGAGGAAGGGGUUGUACCAGCCACCCCCCAGUCCCCCAAAACCACCCUGAGCCUCCUCCUGCAGCAGGGCUGUGUGGCUGGGCUGGGCAGCACCUCCACAGAGGGACAUCUGCUCCCUCCAGGGUGGCAGCACCAGCUCUGCCACUCCCAGGACUCAGCCCAUGGCCUCAGCAGGGACAACUCGGCCUCAGCAGGGACACCAUGGACUCAGCAGUGGCACCAUGGACUCAGCAGGGACAUCUCAGCCUCAGCAGGGACAUCUCAGCCUCAGCAGGGACAUCCCAGCCCAGGGAAGUUGGUCCCAAAGGCUCCUCACAGGCACUGCUGGUAACCAGCCCAGAGGGUGUGGAAAAGGAAUUUUACACAAUGUCCACACUGCAGAGGGGACGUACUCUUCCUCCUCCUCCUCCUCCUCCUCUUCCCCCCACCCUCACUGAGUAACUAAAUAGGAAGCUGAAAAAGAGAAGGGAAUUGCUGCCAGGAGUGGCUUGGAAUGAAAAGCUGGUUUUGGGCUUAUCUAAUGUCACAUCAGCCAUUUCCUAAGAAGGGAGCAAAUUUAAUUAAGAACACAGACUCCCUCAAGGACAGCCAGGUUACACAGAGCACUCCCAGCCUGGAACACAGUGCUGGGAGGUCGGGAUUGUGCACACAGGCAGUGAGAACAGACACUCCAGCCUGGCUGCUGAAGGGAUCAAACAGUUUGGGAUCAAAUGCAGACACCUGCAGGCACAGCACCCUGCUCUCUGCAGGGCCACCAGAGGGAAGGGGCAAUGCCCACAGAGGGUGGCAUGGGGAGGAAAGCAGAGGCAGAUCUUGGACAUGGAAACAAAGCCAGACUGGGAGCAUAAAAAUCCUACACAGGGACUUUGGUGGCUGCAGACACAGAGGGAUGAUCCCUGAUCAAGCAGAGCCUGUGCCAGCUGUGGGGACAUGGCACAUGCCAUGGCACAGCCUGUGCUGCUGGGUUUGCUCAGCACCAUCAGUGCCAGGGCCAUGACAGAGCUCCCAGGGGUGAUGGUCCUCAGGAAGAACCCACACCAGCCCAUUGUGGGCAUUGCUGGUGCCUUUGCUCAGCUCACAAGUGCUGGCACUCAGGAAUUCCUGCACUGCUGAGCCUGGCACAGAGAGGAAGCCUGGGCUCCAGAGCAAGGUGCCCACACCAGGGCAGCACAUCCCACCAGGUCCAGCUCAACAGGCUCCUGCUACAGAGCAAAUUUUCACAUUUCACAGCCCCCAGAAUCUCACCUCCACUGAGAAUUCCUCAAUGCUGACAUCAGCUGUCAGGAGCAGGGGAGCCAGUGCCAGGCUGUCCCCAAGGGCAGGGAAGGACAGACAGGGGCAGCCUGUGGGGUGCAAGUGCCACCUGCUCUGCUGGACCCCCAGACUGACCUGAGGUCACUUCAGCACUGUCCCCAACCUCUGCCAGUGACAUACAGACAAUGAUCAGGGAAAGGUGACCCUGCCCCAGCACAGCCAUCCCCGGGGCUCACAGGGUCAGCAACUGCACCUGGCCAUGGUUUCUGACAAGUUAUCACAAUUUCUGACUUUGUUAUCACAAUUUCUGACUUUGUUAUCACCUAAAGCUGAGUCAUCCCUCUCCCAGCCACAGUGGUACAGAGCUUACCCCAUCAGCUCUGCACAAACCCAGGGGCUUCCAGCAGGCUGCACAUGCAAAUUUAAAGUAAAUGUUGUCCUGAGAAAGGCAACAAGGGUCCCCUUCUCCUUUCUUCUUGUGCUGUUUCCCACCCUGGAAGCACUGGAUUUCCCUGGGGCACACAGGAAAUAUGGCUGAAGGGCAAAAAUCUGGUACAGUGCUCUGUUCUGUCUCUGAUGGAAAAAUAAAGAUAGAUGAAAACAGCCAGGCUGCUCUAUAAAUACAUCUCAUUUUAAUCACCUGAAAUGAGUUCCCUGGCUUCCCCCAGCCUGCUUGGCAGCAAGUGCAUUUCCUUCUGCCACUGAGGGCUUCCACAGCCAGUGCCCUGCUCCUGCCUCAUCCCCUGGCACUGCAGGACCCAGGCACGUGUGGCUGGCAGGGACACGGGGGGGGACCCUCUGAGGCCAAGCUUGACCCCAGCUGGGGCUGCUUGGAGGCCAUCACAGGCACAGGGAGCAGCAGCAA